rnacentral:lncRNA from 1 species
GACCCGAGGAACCGAAAAUACCCAAUUUUUUUCCAAAUACCCAAUAUAUAUAUUUUUUAAAUAAAAUUUUACCCGAAACCCGAAACUAAAAUUGAAAACAUGUACCCAAAACAUAAAAAGUAUUUGUAAUACCAAAAAACAUAUCUAAAAUACUCAAAUAUACAUAAUAUAUACAAAACAUUUCAGGUACUUGGGUACUUGGUCAGGUCUCGAGUAGGAUAUUGACUCGAAAAUAGACAUGCGGGUCCAAAAAAAUCAAAUAUGUACUUUACCUUAGACUCGAACCCAAACCGCACCUAUAUUUCCAGACUGAUUUUGGUUUUACGAGUCUG